AGUCUGCAAAUAAGUAUUGUCUCUUUGUUCAUAAACGAUCAGUGCUAAAACAGGCAAGUUGGGAGUCCAAAAUGCAAAAAGGAGAUUGAGAAUUCAGAAUGAUUGGGUUACUAUUGAGUGGAAUGGAGUGAAGGGAGUAACUGAAGCUGGUGUGAAGCGGAAUUAGGGCUGGUACUAAAAAUCAUUUUAAAAAUGUCGUCAGCAGUACACACAUGAUAUAAACAAUAAAAUUUAUCUUGCAAAGCAAAAUUGUAGUUCUUCACAAAAGAGAACCACAAGGCAAUCAAGUGGAGGUUUUUGAAGUAAUAAAGACUUCAAACUCUAUGGCUGUAUGGUUGAAUUGGACAAAGGACACUUGAGCUGGAUACAUACUAAUCAAUGUGUGGAGACUAUAUACGAGGUCUUGUAUUCCCGUUCAGAUGAGUGGGGACUUGCUGUAAAGGAGUUACAAGUCCUCUGAGAAGUCAGAAGUACCCCCAAGUCUGCCCUCAACAAUGGGGAAGACAUCAAUAAAGUGUAGGAAACUGAAAGAACCUGUCAAUUAACGUCAACAGUCCAAGGAGCUUAGUUAUCAAUAAAACUCAUCGAGAGCUCCAGGCAUUCACACAUGAACCAGGACACGCUGUAAGCACUCAUGAGGGUGCAUGCAGAUGGACCACCACCUAUGAUUACAAGGCGGAAGGGGCUAUCCACCACUGGAUGGACUGUGGACCUGGGACACGCCACCUCGCAGGCCACAAGAUAUCGUCAGCUACUGAUUGGAAAUGAUAGUGACUGUGUUCUAUAACUAUAACUGUGUACUGAGUGCAGUUUAAUAAGACUAUUUGUUAUUGGACUGAAUUAAAACAUUGUGUCACUGUGUUAUGCUGUUGAUAAGUGAUUUGUUAUGUCUACCUGUCACAUCAGACUACUUGUUGUAUUAUGUGUAUGCAA